AUGCUGCCUAUGGACACGAGCUUGUAUCCCUCUCAGCUCUGCGUAGUCAGGCGCACCCAGUCCAUGGAAGAUCUUGAGAGGCGGCUCCAGUUCGCCCUGGUGGUGUAUGCUGGCGGGGCGCGCCGCGACCUCACCCCGGAGUUCAUUCUCGACGCUCUUCACUCCAAGGCUGACAUUGAGGCAAAGUGGGUCUAUAUUCAUCGCUUCAAGCCGGAGGGCUACAUAGUCGUCUUUGCGAGGCUGGAGCAAAGGAACAGGGUCAGUGCGAUGCCUGCAGUUGACCACAAAGGGGUGCAGUUGUUCUUCAGGCCAUGGAACCGCCAAGCGCAUGCGGUGCACGCCAUGUUUCAGUUCAAGGUCAGGUUGGUGCUUGAAGGAAUCCCUCCGCACGCUUGGGACAGGGAAGUGGUGGAGUGCCUGCUCAGUUCUUCCUGUCUGGUGGACAUGCUAGAGCCGGAUACGAGCUCGAGGGUGGACCUGUCAGCAUUCAAGCUCUCUGCUUGGACGGCGCAGCCGGAGGAGGUCCCUUUGCUCCGGUGGCUAGCGGUUCCUGAUCCGGGCAUGCGCUCGCCGUUGAUGGAGCCUACGUUGCUACAAUACAAGGUGCUCAUCCACCUCGACGAGGUCUCAGACUGCACCGUGGUGGAGGAGCCUGCGUUCCUGGGUGUUUCUUCUGGCAGCGGCCAAAGCGGCAUCCCCGACUUGAGCGGCAGCAGGGGUGCGGGGGCGGGCGUGGUGCCAGUUCUGCACGCAGAGAUGGGAGGUUUGGAGUUCACGAUGACAGAGGUCACAUCGGCACCGGCCAUGGCGGCGUUGUCGCCGGCAGCAGCUUGGCAGGCAAUGCGGCACAGCUGCGGGGUGAGAUGGAUUUGA
rnacentral:rRNA from 1 species